GACGAACGCUGGCGGCGUGCUUAAUACAUGCAAGUCGAGCGAGGUUACUGUUUUGGAUCCCUUCGGGGUGAAGAAGCUUUAACCUAGCGGCGGACGGGUGAGUAACGCGUGGGUAACCUACCCCAAAGUCCGGGAUAACAGCGGGAAACCGCUGCUAAUACCGGAUGCCUUUACCUUGGGGCAUCUUGAGGUAAAGAAAGGUAACGCUUUGGGAUGGGCCCGCGUCCCAUUAGCUAGUUGGUGAGGUAACGGCUCACCAAGGCGAACGAUGGGUAGCCGGCCUGAGAGGGUGGACGGCCACACUGGGACUGAGACACGGCCCAGACUCCUACGGGAGGCAGCAGUAGGGAAUAUUGCGCAAUGGACGGAAGUCUGACGCAGCGACGCCGCGUGAGCGAUGAAGGUCUUCGGAUCGUAAAGCUCUGUCCUUGGGGAAGAAGGUCUUCGGACUUGACGGUACCCAAGAAGAAAGCCCCGGCUAACUACGUG
rnacentral:rRNA from 1 species